rnacentral:misc_RNA from 1 species
GUAUUAAGUUUAUAGGUCAAUAGACCCACAAAAGACAUUCUAGACUUGUUUAAAGAGUGUAUAAAGACAUAGGCAUAUGAAGGGCAAGGGGAGCCAUAACAGCAAUCCCUUGAAACCGGUAACGAGACAAAGCUCACACACGAUAGGUAUCAUAGCCUACAAAAGGUGCACAGGGGGAAAAGUAGAAGAAUAGAGCGAGCACAGUACUCCUUUAACAGAGUCAGCUACAACCCUAACUGCUUCAGUAAUGAUCCUUCCGCAGGUUCACCUACGGAAA